rnacentral:rRNA from 1 species
AGAGUUUGAUCCUGGCUCAGAGUGAACGCUGGCGGCGUGCUUAACACAUGCAAGUCGAACGAGAACGGUCCUUCGGGAUGUCAGUAGAGUGGCGCACGGGUGAGUAACGCGUGGAUAAUCUACCUUUGGAUCUGGGAUAACAUUGCGAAAGCGGUGCUAAUACCGGAUAAUAUCGUAAUAUCUGCGGAUAUAGCGAUGAAAGGCAGCCAAUCCUUGGAAGCAGUUGUCUGAAGAUGAGUCCGCGUACCAUUAGCUAGUUGGUGGGGUAAAGGCCUACCAAGGCGACGAUGGUUAGCUGGUCUGAGAGGAUGAUCAGCCACACUGGAACUGACACACGGUCCAGACUCCUACGGGAGGCAGCAGUGAGGAAUUUUGCGCAAUGGGGUAACCCCUGACGCAGCAACGCCGCGUGAGUGAUGAAGGCUUUUGGGUCGUAAAACUCUGUCAAUGGGAAAGAAAUUACAAUAUAUUAAUAGUGUGUUGUAUUGACGGUACCCAUGAAGGAAGCACCGGCUAACUCCGUGCCAGCAGCCGCGGUAAUACGGGGGGUGCAAGCGUUAUUCGGAAUUAUUGGGCGUAAAGGGCGCGCAGGCUGUAUACUAGGUCAGAUGUGAAAGUUCAGGGCUUAACUCUGAAAGUGCAUUUGAAACCAUUAUACUUGAGUAUGGGAGAGGGAAGUGGAAUUCCAGGUGUAGAGGUGAAAUUCGUAGAUAUCUGGAGGAACACCGGUGGCGAAGGCGACUUCCUGGACCAAUACUGACGCUGAGGCGCGAAGGCGUGGGUAGCGAACAGGAUUAGAUACCCUGGUAGUCCACGCAGUAAACGUUGAUCACUAGGUGUAGCGGGUAUUGACCCCUGCUGUGCCGGAGCAAACGCAUUAAGUGAUCCGCCUGGGGAGUACGAUCGCAAGAUUAAAACUCAAAGGAAUUGACGGGGGCCCGCACAAGCGGUGGAGCAUGUGGUUUAAUUCGACGCAACGCGAAGAACCUUACCUGGAUUUGACAUCUUGGGAAUACCUUAGAAAUUUGGUAGUGCCUUUCGGGGAGCCCAAAGACAGGUGCUGCAUGGCUGUCGUCAGCUCGUGUCGUGAGAUGUUGGGUUAAGUCCCGCAACGAGCGCAACCCUUAUCUUUAGUUACCAUCAUUUAGUUGGGGACUCUAGAGAUACUGCCCCGGUUAACGGGGAGGAAGGUGGGGAUGACGUCAAGUCCUCAUGGCCUUUAUAUCCAGGGCUACACACGUGCUACAAUGGUAUGUGCAAAGAGUUGCUAAGCCGCGAGGUCAAGCUAAUCUCAUAAAGCAUAUCUUAGUUCGGAUUGGAGUCUGCAACUCGACUCCAUGAAGUUGGAAUCGCUAGUAAUCGUAGAUCAGCAUGCUACGGUGAAUACGUUCCCGGGCCUUGUACACACCGCCCGUCACACCAUGAGAGUUGACUGUACCAGAAGUUGUUGAGGUAACCUUCGGGAGCCAGGCACCUAAGGUAUGGUUGAUAAUUGGGGUGAAGUCGUAACAAGGUA